rnacentral:rRNA from 1 species
GUAGGGAAUCUUCGGCAAUGGGGGCAACCCUGACCGAGCAACGCCGCGUGAGUGAAGAAGGUUUUCGGAUCGUAAAGCUCUGUUGUAAGAGAAGAACGAGUGUGAGAGUGGAAAGUUCACACUGUGACGGUAACUUACCAGAAAGGGACGGCUAACUACGUGCCAGCAGCCGCGGUAAUACGUAGGUCCCGAGCGUUAUCCGGAUUUAUUGGGCGUAAAGCGAGCGCAGGCGGUUAGAUAAGUCUGAAGUUAAAGGCUGUGGCUUAACCAUAGUACGCUUUGGAAACUGUUUAACUUGAGUGCAGAAGGGGAGAGUGGAAUUCCAUGUGUAGCGGUGAAAUGCGUAGAUAUAUGGAGGAACACCGGUGGCGAAAGCGGCUCUCUGGUCUGUAACUGACGCUGAGGCUCGAAAGCGUGGGGAGCAAACAGGAUUAGAUACCCUGGUAGUCCACGCCGUAAACGAUGAGUGCUAGGUGUUGGGUCCUUUCCGGGACUCAGUGCCGAAGCUAACGCAUUAAGCACUCCGCCUGGGGAGUACGACCGCAAGGUUG